rnacentral:rRNA from 1 species
AACGAACGCUGGCGGCAGGCUUAACACAUGCAAGUCGAACGCAUCCUUCGGGGUGAGUGGCAGACGGGUGAGUAACGCGUGGGAACGUGCCCUUCAGUUCGGGAUAACCCAGGGAAACUUGGGCUAAUACCGGAUACGUGCGAGAGCAGAAAGACUUAUCGCUGAAGGAUCGGCCCGCGUCUGAUUAGCUAGUUGGUGGGGUAAUGGCGCACCAAGGCGACGAUCAGUAGCUGGUCUGAGAGGAUGAUCAGCCAUAUUGGGACUGAGACACGGCCCAAACUCCUACGGGGGGCAGCAGUGGGGAAUAUUGGACAAUGGGCGCAAGCCUGAUCCAGCCAUGCCGCGUGAGUGAUGAAGGCCUUAGGGUUGUAAAGCUCUUUCGUCCGGGACGAUAAUGACGGUACCGGAAGAAGAAGCCCCGGCUAACUUCGUGCCAGCAGCCGCGGUAA